GGUAGAACAAAUUCACUAGAUAACUUGGAAAUAAGGGUAUACUUUGAAGUUGAAACAUGUUGAUACAUGCGAAACAGAACAAUUCCUCGCACAUAACCACCUAGAUUAUGUAUAUUAUUGCUCUUCUGUUUAUCAAAUUGUUUUGUUUGAUAUAGUUUCAUAAUUUUUACAAUUGAAAUAUAGAUAAACUAUAGAAUAUUUCGAAAGGAGGGAGGUUGACGCUGAUUAAGAAUGUGUUAAGUAGUAUUCUGACUUAUUUCAUGUUUGUGCAUGUUAUUCCAGUGUCUGUGGCACUGUGGUUGGAGAAGCUUUAAAGGGAUUUUCUAUGGGGUAGUGGAGGAGAUGAAUUUAGAUACCAUUUGAUUGAUUGGGGACAGAUUUACCAAUGUAAGUAAGCAGGGGGUUUUGGGGGUUAGGCGGUUGGUGACUUUCAAUAAAGCCUUGUUAGGGAAGUUGUGGCAUUUUGCUUGGGAGCAUGAUAGACUCUGGCGAAGGGCGGUCGCCUCUAAGUAUGGGUUGGGAAGAGGGGAUUGGGUUUUUGGGGAUGUGACUAGCACUCAUGGUUGUGGGCUUUGGAAAGGGAUUUGGCUGGGGAGGGUGGAGUUUUGGAGGUGGGUAGGGUUCAGGAUGAGGGAUGGGGUGAGGGUGAGGGUUUGGAAGGAUAGAUGGUGUGGUGAGGUUUCAUUGGAGACCCAUUUGCCUUUGAUCUUCGAUAUUGUGGUUGAUUGGGAGGCUACAGUGACAUCUUAUUUAGGGGGUGGGGAUAUGGUGGUUUGGGAUAUUCAAUUGCAGCGGUAGGCGCAAAAUUGGGAAGUGGCUCAGUUGGUGGAAUUGUGGGGUCUCUUGUAUGGGUUGGGCAUCACUAGUGUGGGAUCCGAUGUAAUCAUGUAAUGAUGUGGAAUGGGGUGGGGGCCAAGGGGUAGUUUACCGUUUCUUCAUUAUAUUGGGGUUUAGUGGGAAAUUGUAGUCAAGGCUGUUAAAAUCGGGAUCCUAAGUAGGAUCGGUGAGAAGGUCUGGUGGAUCGGAUCGUAGGAUCGGAUCAAGGAUCGUAAGAUCCUCUUUUCUAU